rnacentral:rRNA from 1 species
CCUACGGGUGGCAGCAGUGGGGGAUAUUGCACAAUGGGGGGAACCCUGAUGCAGCGACGCCGCGUGGGUGAAGGAGUGCUUCGGCAUGUAAAGCCCUAUCGGCAGGGACGAAGCAAGACGGUACCUGACUAAGAAGCCCCGGCUAACUACGUGCCAGCAGCCGCGGUAAUACGUAGGGGGCGAGCGUUAUCCGGAUUCACUGGGUGUAAAGGGAGCGUAGACGGCCAUGCAAGCCAGGGGUGAAAGCCCGGGGCCCAACCCCGGGACUGCCCUUGGAACUGCAUGGCUGGAGUGCGGGAGGGGCAGGUGGAACUCCAUGUGUAGCGGUAAAAUGCGUAGAUAUAUGGAAGAACAUCAGUGGCGAAGGCGGCCGCCUGGCCUGUUAACUGACGCUGAGGCACGAAAGCGUGGGGAGCAAAUAGGAUUAGAUACCCUGUAGUC